UACGGAGGAUCCGAGCGUUAUCCGGAUUUAUUGGGUUUAAAGGGUGCGCAGGUUGUUUGAUAAGUCAGUGGUGAAAGUCUGUCGCUUAACGGUAGGAUUGCCAUUGAUACUGUUGGACUUGAAUAUGGAUGAGGUAGGCGGAAUGUGUAGUGUAGCGGUGAAAUGCAUAGAUAUUACACAGAACACCGAUUGCGAAGGCAGCUUACUAAUCCAUCAUUGACGCUGAGGCACGAAAGCGUGGGGAUCAAACAGGAUUA
rnacentral:rRNA from 1 species